GACAGAGGAUGCAAGCGUUAUCCGGAAUGAUUGGGCGUAAAGCGUCUGUAGGUGGUUUAUUAAGUCUACUGUUAAAGAUCAGGGCUUAACCCUGAGCAGGCAAUAGAAACUAAUAGGCUAGAGUACGGUAGGGCAGAGGGAAUUCCCGGUGUAGCGGUGAAAUGCGUAGAGAUCAGGAAGAACUCGGUGCGAAGCGCUCUGCUGGACCAUAACUGAC
rnacentral:rRNA from 1 species